UAAAAAGCACUUUCGCAUGAAAGAGUUUAAAAAGGUCGGCGUAAAAGCUGUCGCUAAAAGGAUGGACCUGCGAUGCAUUAGCUAGUUGGUAAGGUAACGGGCUUACCAAGGCGAUGAUGCAUAGCCCGAGUUGAGAGACUGAUCGGGCCACAUUGGGGACUGAGACACGGGCCCAAACUCCUACGGGAGGCAGCAGUAGGGAAUCUUCCACAAUGGACGAAAGUCUGAUGGAGCAAACGCCGCGUGAGUGAAGAAGGUUUUCGGAUCGUAAAGCUCUGUUGUUGGUGAAGAAGGAUAGAGGUAGUAACUGGCCCUUUAUUUGACGGUAAUCAACCAGAAAGUCACGGGCUAACUACGUGCCAGCAGCCGCGGUAAAU
rnacentral:rRNA from 1 species